UACGUAGGUGGCAAGCGUUGUCCGGAUUUAUUGGGCGUAAAGCGCCCGCAGGCGGCCUGGCAAGUCUCAGGUGAAAUCUCCCGGCUUAACUGGGAGGGUGCCCGGGAAACUGUCAGGCUCGAGGCAGGGAGAGGGAUGUGGAAUUCCCGGUGUAGUGGUGAAAUGCGUAGAUAUCGGGAGGAACACCAGUGGCGAAGGCGGCAUCCUGGCCCUGUCCUGACGCUCAGGGGCGAAAGCGUGGGGAGCAAACCGGAUUAGAUACCCGGGUAGUCCACGCCGUAAACGAUGAGUACUAGGUGUGGGGGGUAUCGACCCCCUCUGUGCCGAAGCUAACGCGAUAAGUACUCCGCCUGGGGACUACGGCCGCAAGGCUAAA
rnacentral:rRNA from 1 species